rnacentral:rRNA from 1 species
AGUGAACGCUGGCGGUAGACCUAACACAUGCAAGUCGAACGGCAGCACAGUAAGAGCUUGCUCUUACGGGUGGCGAGUGGCGGACGGGUGAGGAAUACAUCGGAAUCUACUUUUUCGUGGGGGAUAACGUAGGGAAACUUACGCUAAUACCGCAUACGACCUACGGGUGAAAGCAGGGGAUCUUCGGACCUUGCGCGAUUGAAUGAGCCGAUGUCGGAUUAGCUAGUUGGCGGGGUAAAGGCCCACCAAGGCGACGAUCCGUAGCUGGUCUGAGAGGAUGAUCAGCCACACUGGAACUGAGACACGGUCCAGACUCCUACGGGAGGCAGCAGUGGGGAAUAUUGGACAAUGGGCGCAAGCCUGAUCCAGCCAUACCGCGUGGGUGAAGAAGGCCUUCGGGUUGUAAAGCCCUCUUGUUGGGAAAGAAAAGCAGCAGGUUAAUACCCCGCUGUUCUGACGGUACCCAAAGAAUAAGCACCGGCUAACUUCGU